rnacentral:rRNA from 1 species
UGAGUAAUACAUCGGAACGUGUCUUCUAGUGGGGGAUAACUGCCCGAAAGGGCAGCUAAUACCGCAUGAGACCUGAGGGUGAAAGCGGGGGAUCGCAAGACCUCGCGCUGGAAGAGCGGCCGAUGUCCGAUUAGCUAGUUGGUGAGGUAAUGGCCCACCAAGGCGACGAUCGGUAGCCGGACUGAGAGGUUGAACGGCCACAUUGGGACUGAGACACGGCCCAG